GGAAAGCAAAUAGCUCGCUGUUAGCAUUAAAGAAAAGCAACCUGGGAGGGACAGCACUCUAGCCUCCUCCCCGCUCAGCCUCUCUCCCCUGCCCCUUUCUCCCAGCUGCUGAGAGACCCUCUCUUUUCCUGGCUCCUCUGCCCUCCCAACUCCCCCAGCCCUCUUCUCCCAUCUCAUCCUCCUCACCGCCCCUGUCCCCUCUGCCUCCAGGAUUCUGCCUGUUCCCCUGCAGGGAGCACUUUGACCUCUGUUCCAGCUGCUUUGGACCAGGCUCCCCUCCAGCCCCCACUGCCCCCACCGUGAGGGCUGCUGAUCAAGAGGUCCCACCUAGCCAGGUAAGAAGACCCUUGGCAUCCCUGGCCCCUCAGCCUCAUAUUAAGCCCCUAGCCCCACCUGGGGCCCCAAGACAGGUCAGGCCCAGCUCCACCCUAUCCAGGUUUCUUGUGCCCUGGUUCUGGCAAUACUCGGCCCUUUGCCCCUCCCCUGCGGUGAGGCAGCCCUUUGCCCUCCACUUUCUGCCAAGUCAGGGGGCCUGACUGCUCCUCUGCCCCUUGCCCAAGGCCCAGGGAGGCUUCUGGACACUUCCAGAAAUGCCGGGAUCCACCAGCCCUCCCCCACCCCAAGUCAGAAUCAGGACCUUGGACAGAAAAAAGGCUGCCUCUGGAGUAUUCUUGUGAGACUGUCCCCAAACUCCUCAGCCAGCCCUCAGGCCCCUCCACGGCGCCUUCCCUGUCUAAGCCUCAGUUUCCCUACUGUAAAGCGUGUUUAUUAACCACUUCCUUCUGGGGGGGCGGUUAUCUCUAUAUUAUGGGGAUUUAGGCACAGCAGAAAUCCCUACAGAAAAUAGCGUGCCGGGCGAUAAUCUCAGGGAAACUGUGGAGGCUUGGGGAAUUGGGGGUGGUAGUACUCCCCACAGCCCCCAAGCUACCUUUCCCUCACUUUGGUGUUCCUGUUCGUUCUCCACCCCCAAAUGGGCAUCUCCCCGCCACCGUCCCGACAAGUUAAUGAUCACAGGCCUUAUCAGAGCCUUUUGCUAUUUAUAAAUUUAUAAAACAAAAGAAAUAAUGGCGUGCGUGGGUAAUUAGUAACCAGAACGGCUUUGCUGAGGAGAGAGACGGGGGAGGCAUUGAAAUCGGGACCCACUCAGCACUCCAGGAGAUGGGGAGCCAGACAACAGAAGAGGGGGGUCUGGUAUGGGGAGGCCUCUAACCCUGCUAUCUGACCAGGCUGGGGUCAGGGGCAAGCAGCACCUGGCCAUGCAGGGAAACUGCCACCUUCAGCUCCAUCUGCCCCAGAUUUUUCUCGAAGGUGUGUAUUCAAUCCAAUGAGACGUGAACGCAGGGAGAGCGGGACAACUGUAUGCAGCUCUGACCUGGACGCAGACAAACUCGGAGCAGGAAAAACAGCGUGGGCUGAGCAGAAUUACCACUUGCAAUCCUGAAUCUUACCUAGAAGAAGGCAGAAACUUCCAGAGCGGUACCGCGUGGAAGCCUGGCAUCAGACUGCCCACUGUAGGAAACCUCCCAGCUCCAUCCAGUGCCUACAGGAGCUGGGACACAGUGGAGUUGCUUCAGCGCCACCUCCCUGAACUUGUUAACCGAGCAAAUCCUCCAGGCUCAGCUCCAGCCGCCAGAUCAGAAGCCCUGGAGGUGGCCCUGCAGUUUCCAAAAGCCCUCGAGGGUUUCCGGAUGUGUUUCUCCGUGGGAAACUUCCACCUUUCAAAGACAGGGUCUCCAGCUGAACCUGGCAAUCAUCCUUUCAGCUAGACUGAAUGGUCUGACAGCAUUUAAGGUCCUUCUAUCUCUGCUACCCAGGAAUGAGCCAACACAACAGCAUUUUACAAGAGUCUUGGGGAUCAGAGGUUCCCUAAAAUCAGACUCUGUCAUCGGCAAGUGGAGACUGUAACAGACUGGGACCCUCACAUGCCGAUAAGCAGUCAAGAAUAUUUUCUGGGAGCUGGAGAGAUGGGCUCAGCAGUUAAGAACACUGACUGCUCUUCCGGAGGUCCUGUGUUCAAAUCCCA